rnacentral:rRNA from 1 species
UACGUAGGGGGCAAGCGUUGUCCGGAAUCAUUGGGCGUAAAGAGCGCGUAGGCGGUCCGGUAAGUCCGCUCUGAAAGUCCGGGGCUCAACCCCGGGAGGCGGGCGGAUACUGUCGGGCUAGAGUCCGGAAGAGGCGAGUAGAAUUCCUGGUGUAGCGGUGAAAUGCGCAGAUAUCAGGAGGAACACCAAUGGCGAAGGCAGCUCGCUGGGACGGUACUGACGCUGAGGCGCGAAAGCGUGGGGAGCAAACAGG